GAUGAACGCUGGCGGCGUGCCUAAUACAUGCAAGUCGAGCGAACGGACGAGAAGCUUGCUUUUCUGAUGUUAGCGGCGGACGGGUGAGUAACACGUGGAUAACCUACCUAUAAGACGGGGAUAACUUCGGGAAUCCGGAGCUAAUACCGGAUAAUAUUUUGAACCGCAGGGUUCAAAAGUGAAAGACGGUCGUGCUGGCACGUAUAGAUGGAUCCGCGCUGCAUUAGCUAGUUGGUAAGGUAACGGCUUACCAAGGCAACGAUGCAUAGGCGACCUGAGAGGGUGGUAGGCCGCCCUGGAGCUGAGCCACGCUCCAGAGUCCUACGGGAGGCCGCAGUAGGGAAUCGUCCGCAGCGGGGGAAAGCAUUACGGAGUAGCGCCGCGUGAGUUAUAACGGUGUUCGGAUCGUAAAACCGUGUUAUUAGGGAAGAACAUAUGUGUACGUAAAUGUGCACAGAUUGACGGUAACUAAUCAGAAAGCCACGGCUAACUACGUG
rnacentral:rRNA from 1 species